CCUACGGGAGGCUGCAGUAAGGAAUAUUGGGCAAUGGACGAAAGUCUGACCCAGCCAUGCCGCGUGAAGGAUUAAGGUCUCUGGAUUGUAAACUUCUUUUCUCUGGGGCGCAGUACCAGAGGAAUAAGCACCGGCUAACUCCGUGCCAGCAGCCGCGGUAAUACGGAGGGUGCAAGCGUUAUCCGGAUUCACUGGGUUUAAAGGGUGCGUAGGUGGGUCUGUAAGUCAGUGGUGAAAUCCCCGAGCUUAACUUGGGAACUGCCGUUGAUACUAUAGAUCUUGAAUAUCGUGGAGGUAAGCGGAAUAUGUCAUGUAGCGGUGAAAUGCUUAGAUAUGACAUAGAACACCAAUUGCGAAGGCAGCUUACUACACGAUAUUGACACUGAGGCACGAAAGCGUGGGGAGCAAACAGGAUUAGAUACCCUUGUAGUC
rnacentral:rRNA from 1 species